rnacentral:lncRNA from 1 species
CAGAACCUUUGGGACUCAAAUGGAAAGAUCUGAUACAGCUCAAAGCCAAAUGGCCCAGAUCUACCGAACCAUCAGAAGGCUGAAACUCUAAGGCAUAUAAAUGAGGAAAGAAGCAGUUUGGGCUGAUACUACAGCUGAUUUCAGUAAUGGGCUUUCAGGUGUAUGAGGAAACACAGUCAGCUUCCAUCUAGCCUAUUAAAACAGCUGAUAGCUAAUUCUGAUGUCUGCAGAACUCUUCAAAGAACAACUAGGAGUUCAUUGCUGUGCUAAUACAAGCAAAUAGAUAACGCCUUCUGUGAUUUUAGAUACAGCUGGAAGGCACAAUUAACCAGCUGUGCCCUCCUUCAGUGACUGGUGCCCCAACCCUGACUUGGAUAGGACCUGAUUAUGCACUGAAUCGAAUUCAGUAACUGAAGCAUUAGUAACAGAAUGAGAUA